UACAUACUCCCUCUGUUCGGAAUUACUCGUCCAAGAAAUGAAUGUAUCUAGAUGUAUUUUAGUUGUAGAUACAUCCAUUUUGAGACAAGUAAUUCAGAACGGAGGGAGUACUAC
rfam:Triticum aestivum genome assembly, contig: Triticum_aestivum_CS42_TGACv1_scaffold_352450_4DL